rnacentral:rRNA from 1 species
AAUUCGCCCUUAGAGUUUGAUCCUGGCUCAGGACGAACGCUGGCGGCGUGCUUAACACAUGCAAGUCGAGCGGGGAUAUUAAUGGAAGUCCUUCGGGAUGGAAAUUAGUAUUCCAGCGGCGGACGGGUGAGUAACGCGUGAGCAAUCUGUCCCAGACAGGGGGAUAACAGAUGGAAACAUCUGCUAAUACCGCAUAAGACCACGAGAGGACAUCCUCUUGGAGUAAAAGGAGCAAUCCGGUUUGGGGUGAGCUCGCGUCCGAUUAGGUAGUUGGUGAGGUAACGGCCCACCAAGCCUGCGAUCGGUAGCCGACCUGAGAGGGUGAUCGGCCACAUUGGAACUGAGACACGGUCCAAACUCCUACGGGAGGCAGCAGUGGGGAAUAUUGGGCAAUGGGCGAAAGCCUGACCCAGCAACGCCGCGUGAGUGAAGAAGGCUUUCGGGUUGUAAAGCUCUGUCCUAGGGGACGAAGGAAGUGACAGUACCCUGGGAGGAAGCCCCGGCUAACUACGUGCCAGCAGCCGCGGUAAUACGUAGGGGGCGAGCGUUGUCCGGAAUGACUGGGCGUAAAGGGCGUGUAGGCGGCCGAUUAAGUAUGGAGUGAAAGUCCUGCUUUCAAGGUGGGAAUUGCUUUGUAGACUGGUUGGCUUGAGUGCGGAAGAGGUAAGUGGAAUUCCCAGUGUAGCGGUGAAAUGCGUAGAGAUUGGGAGGAACACCAGUGGCGAAGGCGACUUACUGGGCCGUAACUGACGCUGAGGCGCGAAAGCGUGAGGAGCGAACAGGAUUAGAUACCCUGGUAGUCCACGCUGUAAACGAUGAAUGCUAGGUGUUGCGGGUAUCGACCCCUGCAGUGCCGGAAUAAACCCAAUAAG